rnacentral:rRNA from 1 species
GAUGAACGCUAGCGGCAGGCUUAACACAUGCAAGUCGAGGGGUAGAGGUUGCUUGCAACCUUGAGACCGGCGCACGGGUGCGUAACGCGUAUGCAACCUACCUUUUACAGAGGGAUAGCCCAGAGAAAUUUGGAUUAAUACCUCAUAGUAUAUAACCUUCGCAUGUUGGUUAUAUUAAAGUUUCAACGGUAAAAGAUGGGCAUGCGUCCUAUUAGCUAGAUGGUAAGGUAACGGCUUACCAUGGCAACGAUAGGUAGGGGUCCUGAGAGGGGGAUCCCCCACACUGGUACUAAGACACGGACCAGACUCCUACGGGAGGCAGCAGUGAGGAAUAUUGGACAAUGGGCGCAAGCCUGAUCCAGCCAUGCCGCGUGCAGGAAGAAGCAUCUAUGGUGUGUAAACUGCUUUUGUACAGGAAGAAACACCCCGACGUGUCGGGACUUGACGGUACUGUAAGAAUAAGGAUCGGCUAACUCCGUGCCAGCCGCCGCAGUAAAAC